rnacentral:rRNA from 1 species
UUGGCCGGUGCUUCUUCUGUACCUACCGUCACUUGCGCUUCGUCGGUACUGAAAGAGGUUUACAACCCGAAGGCUGUCAUCCCUCACACGGCGUUGCUGGAUCAGGCUUCCGCCCAUUGUCCAAUAUUCCCCA